UACGUAGGUGGCAAGCGUUAUCCGGAUUUACUGGGUGUAAAGGGCGUGUAGGCGGGAUGGUAAGUCAGAUGUGAAAACUAUGGGCUCAACACAUAGCCUGCAUUUGAAACUAUCGUUCUUGAGUGUUGGAGAGGCAGGCGGAAUUCCGUGUGUAGCGGUGAAAUGCGUAGAGAUUAGGAAGAACACCAGUGGCGAAGGCGACUUACUGGACUGUAACUGACGCUGAGGCAUGAGAGCAUGGGGAGCAAACAGG
rnacentral:rRNA from 1 species